rnacentral:rRNA from 1 species
ACGCUCGACACCUACGGAGGCAGCAGUGGGGAAUAUUGCACAAUGGGGGAAACCCUGAUGCAGCGACGCCGCGUGAGCGAAGAAGUAUUUCGGUAUGUAAAGCUCUAUCAGCAGGGAAGAAAAUGACGGUACCUGACUAAGAAGCCCCGGCUAACUACGUGCCAGCAGCCGCGGUAAUCUGAGGCGGGCUGGCAAGGC